GAGAGUAUGUGAAAUGGAUGAUUAAUCAAGUUUAUGAAAGCAAGCGGGCGGAAACUUUACGAGAUAAAGUAACAUUAUCUCUAACGUCAUUGUUCGAGCAAUACCGCACCGGUAUAUGCCCCCAAAGCAAUUUGAGGUCAAAGGGUACAAAGACAAUGAACGUGUCAAUGUCUCCUAUGGUUGGUGUGGACAUUAUGACUGCAAUGUAUCUUAGCCAAACGAGACAAGAAUAUUUGGAAGAAUAAUCCGAAUUAGAUAAGUAUUUGGAAGAAAAAUGUGAACGCUAUAGCUCCAACUUUGAUAUCUUAAAUUGGUGGAAAGUCAAUUCUUCGAGAUAUCCUAUCCUCUCUUCCAUUGCUCGAGAUAUUUUGGCCGUGCCCGUCUCAACUGUAGCAUCAGAGGCUGCAUUCAGCAUAGGAGGUCAUGUACUUGACGUGUUUCGUAGCUCCUUGACCCCAAAUAUGGUGGAGGCUCUUAUAUGAGCUCAAGAUUGGCUACGAUCCGCACCACUUUCACUUUCGAUUGAGGAGGACUUAGAAGAACUCGAAAAUUUUGAGUCAGAGUUGUCAACUGUGACCGCGGAACUGAACUCGAUAUUGGUUUCUCUUGAUGAUUGACGAACAAAAGAGAAGUAGUCAUCUCCUUGAUGUGUAAAGAAAGCAAGUGAGUACUGGAAAUUCUAUAUUCUUUUUUGUAGCUAGUCCAUUAUAUGAUUAUUUUUAAAAAGAGGAAGGCUCAAUAGCAUGUCACUAUAUCGACUCGAUUUCAUAUCAUAGCUGUGUGAUUGGCCGUGAACCUUUAAAAAAAAUUAGAAGAGGAAUAAUCCAAGCGAUACCUCAUCAGAUAACACAUGCCAAGAGAUUCUUCAGUGACAUGCAAUUUAUCUUGUGAUUUUAACAGGUGCAACUGUGGAACCAUUUGGAAAGCAAGUGAGCAACUUUUGUUGUUCUGCGCAGUAGUCUAUUUGCUUUAUGUACUAGCAACUGACCCUGUACCUGGAGGACUGAGAGGAGACAUCACAAAGCAGAACCUUUUGGCAGAGUUGGGUCUUAUUAAUUUCUGACAUUAGAAUUAAUGUAAUCAAAUAUAUGAAUUCUUCUUGUAAGAACUUCCUUUUAUCUUGGUUCUAUUACAUUAAAAUGGCACUUCUUGUUUU